CAGCAGCCGCGGUAAUACGGAGGGGGCUAGCGUUGUUCGGAAUUACUGGGCGUAAAGCGCACGUAGGCGGCUUUGUAAGUCAGAGGUGAAAGCCCGGGGCUCAACCCCGGAAUUGCCUUUGAGACUGCAUCGCUUGAAUCCAGGAGAGGUGAGUGGAAUUCCGAGUGUAGAGGUGAAAUUCGUAGAUAUUCGGAAGAACACCAGUGGCGAAGGCGGCUCACUGGACUGGUAUUGACGCUGAGGUGCGAAAGCGUGGGGAGCAAACAGGAUUAGAUACCCGAGUAGUCCCUGUCUCUUAUAC
rnacentral:rRNA from 1 species